UGAGCUAUGGUGUAAUGGUAGCACUGCAGAUUUUGGUUCUGCCUGUAUAGGUUCGAAUCCUGUUAGCUCAA
rnacentral:tRNA from 1 species